UACUUUGCAAAAGGAAUCUCAGGACACCCAGCAUGGCCUAAGGAGAGGGUCGCGGCUAUGCAAGGGGCCGUCCACCUGGGCCCCAGAGACGCCGACUGGCUGCUCGGACUACGGAGACUUUGGACGUGGAGGUGCAUGUUCAACCGUUCUGGGUCCGAAGACGCUGCUGGUGCUUCCCACGGUGCCCUGUACCUCGCAGGCCCUCGACGCUUUUGAAUGAAUGCGAGAACAGUUGAGUGAACGAGAUAUGCCCUGUGGACGCCAUGCCUUCUGGAGUCCCACACUGGGAUGAAGCAUCAGCCACCUUGGAGAGGCCACGUGACAGGAAGGAGGCUCUCCACCCACAGCCACGUUGCACUGAAUCCUGCCCACGUGACAGGAAGGAGGCUCUCCACCCACAGCCACAUUGCGCUGAAUC